CCUAGGAGGCAGGCAAUUCCGUGCUGCCGUGAGGCGUGGAAAGCCCUGUGUGCCUGGUUGCAGCUUUGUCUCAGUGCUGCCAUGAAGGUUUUUACCUCAUCUGGAUUGUAGGUUUCCCGGAGACUUGGAUACAUUUGUGCAUGAAGGACAUCCAUCUCAACAAAAUCUGUUAUUGCUGCAUACAGGAAGGAGGACCUGUUGUUUCCAUGUGCAUUUCUUUCCCUUUCUCUUUUAUAUCUUAUUGCUCUCUCAGACAAACCCCAGAUGGUCACUUUUGCGCUGAUCUCGCCAAAGUCUUCUGAGCUGUUUUUGGAAAGCAACAGGAAAACCUUAAAAUAUUUUUCUCACCUUGAGGUCGGUAUGCUUCUAACAUAUGGAUUGGGACUGAAUGUUUUCAAACACAGGCUAAAUAGAUCCUUUAUUUCUACUGAACCAUUAGAAAUAAUCUUAAAGACCUGCUUGGAGUGUAUUUUGUACAUGAGUUAAAAUAAUUUGUAAAUAGUUUUUCAAAACAUGAUGCUUAUGAUGUUUUAGGUGUGAGAAAUAUCUGUUACUAUUUGAUCUUUCCCCUUAGUAAUGGGAAGUAUUCAUCUCUAUAUAAAAAACUGAUAUUGAUAUCAAUAUGUAUAUAAAUUUCAUACACUUCUCCCAAUUUGUUCCUCUUACUUGCAUAACACUACUUUUACAUUAUGCUCUUGUGUGUUACAGUAAUCUCUCCCACCUUGGGAGUAAAAAAAAAAAAUCACCUGUACAUCUGUCCCCACUCUCAUAAUAAUAAAACUUUUAUGCUCCAGUGAAUAUUUUAUCUCCAAGCACUGACACCAAAGUCCUCCGAUGGGGCUGCACAGAGAGUUUAAAAGUAGGAUGCCCUGUGGCAGUUAAUCAUAGCUAAUGCAGAGCUCAGGAGGAAGGGGAAAUGAUUUUAUGACUGUAAAUGGAAAAAGGACAAAUAAACAGGGCUGGGAAGAGGAGCUGCCGUGGGCAGGGGAGCCUCAGGCUUUUGGUGUGGUUGCAGGAAAUGGGCUCUUUGCAUCAGGAGGGGCGCCCACAAAUGCACUCAGGGCUUUCACAGAUGUAUUUAGGUCACUGACACUUUGAAAGCUUUAUACUUUUUCAGUCUAGGGGCUGUGACAAAGGCCUGUAAACUCAGAGUGAAGGCUAGCAUCCAUCCGUGGCUGGCCUUAUUGUAUCCCCAGGAAUUUCGGAUCAAUGAAGGAUGUUAGCAAUUAUGUGCUGAAAUAACUAAGUACAAUGGGAUGAGGUAAGGAAAGCGACUCAGCCUUGAAUUUGAAUUUCUUUUGGUUUCUGUCAGUUUGUGCCAACACCCCUUGCAAUGCGUAGUGUGUCUCUGGGGCUGCCCUAUAUUGUUCAGUACAGGAAAUUUGAGAGACACAAGUUCAGCAGCAAACGUCAAAAGUUGCAUGUGUGGAUGCAAUCUUUUCCCUGGUGUAUGGGGCAGUUUUGCUGCUGGGCUUCUGAAGGUAUUUUGUGGAUGAGAUGCUGGUUUCUCUCUUUCGGCACAAAAUCUUUUGUAGCAGGUGUUGUUCUGGUUUUUAAGGCUGAGAAGAAGUAGCCGUGAUGUCACUUGACUUCCUGCAAAGCUCCAACCCCCAGCGUGCUGUGAAGAAAGUCCCGUGUGCCGCCUCGUGCUCCGCUUGUUCCCUGUGGUUCUUUCCGCUUGUAAUUCCCAAAGGGCCAAACCCAGGGUUGUAUGCCUGACCCCUGUAUCCAGGCCACUGGGCAGACUGAAGCAAGGAGGAGGAAUUCCUUUGAAGUUGUGGAGCUGCUCCCCAGUAGCUGACUUGGGCCCAGUGGUGGGUGCAGUGUCCCAUGGUCCUCACGCUGUCUCCCUGAAAGGGAUCUGAUUCCCGCUGCUCCCUGCAGCUCAACCAUAUCAGUUCCACUGCAGUGCAGCCUUCUCCCAUUGCUGAGUAGUGGGCUGAGCCUGGCUCUGAGCUACCUCAGGAUGACAGACGCUCACAGAAAACCCCAUAAAAAACUUCCUUUCUUAAACGCCAAAACACAUGCUAGGAGAGCCCAGAGUCUGUGACUUCCAGUUAGGGCAGUUAAUCAAAACAUUUGCCAUGUAUUGUGUGAGCUCCUUCACAGUUUGUGCAUUUAUCUUUUAAACAUCUGCGGAACAGCAUGGCUUAGAUAGGUUUCUGUUACUACUCUGAGCCUUCAUUGGCUUUCAAGAAUGAGUGAAGAGGAGCCAGACAACAUAAAGGGCAGGCAAUCAAAGCUUUUGACUCUUAGAUCCUUGCAGAUGGGCCUCCUGAUGAAAUGACUAACAACUGUUGCCAGAUCAGCAAGUAGCAACCACAAGGCACCUGUAUUUAUUUAACUUUCAUUUUACCAGAUAACUUGUCUUUAUGCUUUGGAGUUUUAACUAUGGAUUAUAAGUCACGAGGCUUCCUUCAGAUCUCCCUAGCACAAGUGUAAAAUGAGUCACUUGAGAUUGGUUGGUGAUAAGAGUUCUUCUACUGUACAAGCAGUAGAUGCAAAGUCAGGAUCAGGCCAAGGUGGAGAUCAUGGGUCCAGUGUCUAGUUUGUUUGAAACAUCUUUAUUGCCCACCUCUGGGGUGAAGUCUUCAAUGGGCAUGCACUAAAGGGAGGGAAGGUUUCUAGCAGCAGCCUUUGGUUAUCGUUAAAAUAAAUAAAUAAAUAAAAAUCAGUGACCUCAUUUUUCUUUUCUGAAUGGCUCUGCAUCUUGGGAAUUCCACUGUGCUAAAGGAGACUAUCUGCAUCCAGGGCCCCCAGCUCCUUCAGUUCUGCCUGGGUGAGACUCAAGGUGAGGGGCAGCCAGCUUCCCUGACCUUGCAAGCUGCCUGCCAAACCCAAGAUGUUGCCAGAUCCCUCAGGCUACAAACCUUGCACCUCAGAGUACCAGUUCUAGGAAUGACUCGCAGGUGGUGUUGCCAGCAGCUCCACAGGAGCUUUGUUGCUCCUGCCAUUAUGGAAAGGAACAAAGCUGAGUAUGUGGCUGUGCCCCAGGAUGACCCAGUGGUGUUGGCUUCAGUGGCUCCUGCUGUCUUGCAGCCUUUCACAGGCACUGACUCUGAUUGCCCGGUCACCCCAGUGCCAAUCCAACCCUGCUGCCAGACACCUCGGUGUAGCCCUGGCACGUGAAGUCUACUGCUUGCUCACAAGCAGUAUGAGGUUUGCCUGUUCCCCUGCUUUCCCUGAAGGCAAAUGUCAAGAAUAUGCCAUGCUGAAUGUUGGAUAUAUAUUAGAUAUUCUAUCUGGACAGGUUAGAACACGCUUUGUGGCUCUGAUUGCUACUGGUUUUGGGUGCUGUGAAGGGACCCAUGGUGGGUGUUCGGCUGUUCCUGGAAAGCAGUCAGCUCCUCUGUUCCUGGAGUCGGAUAUCUGAACAACGGCAAAUGCCAAAUCCGUAAUUAUUUCUGUAUGUACCACUCUCCAGUUUUAUAGCUGAUGCUUUACCUGUGUGCUUUUGGUCACUAGUGGCUUUUGUUCAGCAAAUAACAUCCUGGUCAUAUGUGUGAUACGGCCUGUUGACAUAGGAUAAAGUCACAAAGUGAACGUGCUCAAGUGUUAAGAAGCAAUGUUGCAGCAGUACUAUGAGACUUGGCCCAUGGGUUUUAGCAAUCCCUGCAGCUGUGUCUGUAUUUAGGGAUAUGCUUUGGUGUCUAAAUGAGCACAUGUAUUCUCCUUCUGAUAGUGGAAACUAGUUAGAACAUUGAGUUCUGCCAAAUUCAAUCAUAUGUGUUGUUUUUUUUUUAAUGUCUACAACAAGAUCUGAUAGUUUAAAAAGCUUUCAACGUGCCUCUUGCUGGGGAUGGUUUUCUUUGGUCACUUCUGUCUAUCUCUCUUCUGAUUCCAAAUAUGAUGAAGAGGAAAUGUAGCUGAUUUAAGUACUUCAAGCUAGUGAAAUUAGACCAGAUUGAUUAAGAGCAUGUGUGGCAAGCAUAGCACUUGGAAGCAAACCUGCUGUUCCUCCUGAGAAAUAUUCUUACUGAGGGACUUAAAAUUCAGAUCGAUCCCAAGUUUUCAGUAUCAGGAUUAUUUUUCAGCUCUGCCUUAUUGCUAACUUUAGGCUAUAGGGUGUGAUCUGUCUUCAUGUUAAAUAAAGCUUUCUUUUGCAAGGAAUUUUGCAGAAAGAAGUGAAAUCGAGUGGAGCUGGGGGAAGCUGUGGCAUAUGGUGUGUCAUCCAAGCAAGAAUGGUCCAGUCUUCCCCCGGCUUCCCAGUUCCUGUACCUGUCAAAAGGAUUUUAUGAGAUGGAGAAUGAGUUGUGCACACAGGGAAGCAUGAGGCAGAAUGCUGGAAGAAAAGGAGGAGUAAAUAAUUGUGAGUAAAUAAAUUGUGAAAAUGGUGCCAGUUUUUCCUCGAUGGGCCUUGAUCCUCCAAUACAGCCCAACAAAGCUGGGAGUGAUACACCAAAAUAUCUUUUUAAUAAACAACGUAGGCAGUAGGAAAUAAUACUGGUCAGGGCUUGUUUUUCUGGCUCAGGGCCUCAUUCCAACCUGUUGCAACCAGCUAUUGAACGUCUUUGGGGACACCCCCACACAGGAGGCCCCACGGAGGAAAGGAACUUUUACAUUUGUGUUUGACUGGGAGCCUUGCCAGUGGCUAAGUUCAAAGUGCAGUUUCCAGUAAUUUGCUGUUACUACUCCGUGUGUUUGAUAGGCCAGGACAGAAGCAUGCAACCCGAAGUAAUAUUUCCUGAUUUCUGACAUUUCUCAAGAUAUGAAUGGAGGUUGCUGAGGCACUAAAACUUGGAAGGGUUUUCCUGACUCCAACACCUUUGAUGCUUUCCUUUUCUCCUCUCGCAUAGCCCCUUUCCCUGCCCCCAUCUCCUCCCUUAGAUCACGUUCCCUGCUGUUGUCAGUUCCGUAUUUGGAUGACAUUCAUAUUGAUUGUUUCCCUAUGCAAACACUGUGCGGCUGGUCUUAUGCAACUAGAGAAAUCCUAUUGAUUUACUGAGUGUGAGGGUUAUUUAGAUUGAUAUCCUUCUAUAGUAGGGGUAACAUUUUCGUCUCCCCUUAGAAUUAUGGUUAACCUUUCCAUUUUGGAGGGAGGGGGUGGAAAUGAAUUUCUUUUGCCCUGUUGACUGUGAUAAGAGAGAGGUAAGCACAGGGAGAAGCCAGUGGAAUAGCUACUGUUCUCUCCAAUGUAUGCAGUUGUAGGCCAUGUGUAUGCCAUUGUGGUUAUGGAAGAAGCAUCCUCUGUAAUUAAGAUUAUAUAAGCAUCCCUAUUGUAAUUCUUUGUUUUCUGCUUUCCAAAACUUGCCUCUUUUGGGCUGAUGUUUUCCUGGCUUGUUCUUUGCCAUGUCACAACUUAAUUAUUUAUUUUCCAAGCAGGGAUACAAAUGUUGGAGAGAGCUGAGGAAAUGGACCUCUCUUGCCUGCUUGAAAAAGAAAAAUCUUGACAUUUUUUAAAAUUAGAUCCAAAGACCAAAUGUUUCCUGGAUGUGACUGUCAACGAGUGGAAAAACCUUUUGGGGAACACUAAUUGCUGGAUAAUCUACAUUUGUGCAAAAAGUAAUGCCAAUGUGCUCUUUGAGGGCAGCCUGAAAUGCUUAAAAUCCUAAUUCCCCGUUUUUUACAGCUUAAAUGUGCAGACUUCCUAGGCCCACAGGGGCGUGGGUGUAUUAGUACAGUUACCUACAAAAGCAGAGCAGCAGGAAAUUUAAAGGUGCAGUAUUCAGCUCUAACUGCACCCCUUCAGCAAAGUGAAUGCCUACAGCAACAAAAGCUGAGUGCUGAAACUCUGUCCUGGUUCUGCACUGAAGCUUCACUUUUCAGCUGAAACUGUCAUCUCACUUCUAAAAUUCCUUUGGCUAGUAUGUAGCUUGAGUUUUCAAAUAAAUAAGCAAACAAAUACCUUUUCUUCCAGAGAGCACUGACAGGUGUUCACACAAUCCAAGCACUCCUGAGGUUUUAAUUAUUAAACUAAAUGGUUCCUUGAAAGCAGAGGAAUUUGGAGUUAAUUCUGAUCUUUAUACUUGUGCUGAUCACUUUGCAUCCACUCUAGUGUGUCCACUGUGGUGACAUCCAUGAGACUGCCUAAACAGCAACUGAAGGAAACACUGAGAACAUAUUUUGGAGCUGAACGUUUCUAGUACUGUAAUUGGAAUUGCAUUAUUCAUGAUUAGCGCCUUUUUUCCGAUGUUUAGUCAAGAAUUCUCAAGGGGGGGCAGUGGGAGAAAGCACUGAGUAGCAAAUAAUCACAAGAUGAUCUUCAGUGGCAGUUAAUUUGCCCACAGUGCAUCACUGGUACCAGGGUGUUUGUCAUGUGGCAGGCAGCUGUGUUCCACCGCCGGAUGCUCAGCCCUCCUCCUCUUUAACCAGCUGCAGUGCUUUGGCCUCCCUCUGUUUUGGUUUCCAGCCAGAAGGAUAUGAGUGGAGUGGAAGGGAGAAACCUGCAAACUGGUCCAUGUUUUUUUUUUUUUAUUUAAUUGUGUGCAAGAAUAAUUCACCGAUGGCUGGGCUGCACAAAUGUGUUAAACCCACAAUCUCCUGUGUGUACCAAAGCCUCUGCCUGUGUUACCUGUGCUGUGAAGUGACUGAAGAAUGUAAGGUUGCAUCAUGAGACCAAACAGCAGGUAAACAAAAGGAGCAUGCCAUGUUCAAAUGAAAUAACUCCUCGUAAACCUGGAGGAUUGCAGCGAACUUUGUUGCUGAGUGGUUUCCUGGCCAAGAGAAGCACCAAAGAUGUUACACUGAAUAACUGGAAGGGGUUACUACACUGAAACUGCAGCCUAACUGUAUUGAGGAAGAAGUAGGGCUCACCAGAUCGCACAGGAAGUUUUCAGUAUAGUCCCUCGUGCCUUCAUUGUUGAUAUGUGAAACCAGAAUAAUAUUCCAGAGGCUUUCUUUGGUUUCCAUAAUAUUUGCUUGGAUGUGAAUUGUACAGAGGGAGCUGGAUUCAAACUUUGAGAUCGUCUGUACAAAACAAGAAAUAGCGAAAGAAGGAACGUGCCCUGUUGUUCACUGUAACAAUAAACAUGGAAAAUGAUUCAAUGAUCUGUGAAGUUCAGCACAAGUCUCACUCAAACAGUGAAAUUUCUGAGGACAGAGCAACUGUCACACUAGUUUAGAUCAGAGAUUAUUGUGACCAUGUAUCCUGUCUCCUGCAGAGGCUGGUGAGAGUGGGAUUGGGAAAGAGCCUGUGCAAAGAGGUAUAUAUUUGAAAUGAUUUUUCCCUGCUGUACCUUCCGAUGAAGAGUUGUACAGCAAAUUGUAUUCUGACAUUUGCUUUCAGACCAUUGUGCUUGAGACCAGCUCCUGGAUGUAUUCAUCCUUCAUUUCUCUGAUCUCCAUUUGAACCUGUGUGUUUCCUUGCCUCAACCAGCCCCUGUGGGCACUGAGUUCCACACUGUAAUUGUUUCAUGAAAAAGCACUUCCUUUUGUUCCUAAAUUGCUGCCAGUUUAAAACAGGCUUCCCGACUUCCUUUAUUACAUACAGUAAAUAAUUCCCUUUUUUUUACCACAUCAUUCCAUUCAUUAUUUUUCAGAUGUUGAUUCUGUCCUCUCUUAGCCAGCUGGCAUGCCCUAAUUUAUUUAUUUUAUACUUGUCCAGAAGUUGUUCUUUACUUUCCACAUUGCCUUUUCCUCUAAUCUUUUCUAGUCCUUCUGUGUGCUUUGUGGGAUGCACAGUGUGGAGGUGAAUGCAGGAGUGUAAUCAAAGGGCUCUAAUGAGUAACCCCGUAGGUUGCUUGUAUGAGCAAAAUGCCUGUGGACUUGAGCCAAAGGUUGUGCUGAUUAGCCUGGGAAGACCGGUACUGUCAGGCUUUGUCUGUGUGGUGUCAGAACAAGAUAAAGCUGUACAAGCGCUCCUUGUUACAUGCUUUAAGUUCAUCAUCUCUGUUCUGAAGUUACAGCUGUGAUGCCAAAGCUCUAAAUAAACAAUACUUCAAGUUUCAGUACCUGAAAGAGUGGGUGCCAAAAGAAAAAGAUGAUACCAGCCAUGAUGGGGUGAUGAAAGUCUGUGAGGUGCUAGGGAACGAGGGGAGAAGUUUCUAAUGUGUUCAACAAAAAGUUAUUGCACCCUUCAAACCCUGCAAUCAAUAAAUGAGUGUUUUUUUAGGUUCUUUCAUGAUCCUUUAACUUAUUUGCAUAUGUGAAUUUUUGCCUGAAUGCUGAUACGCACUGCCCUUAAAAAGGGAUUUGGUAGUGGAAGGUGGGGAUGUAUGUUUGAGACUCCUCUCAAAUCUUGGCUUCACAGAGCCCUGAAAGCCCCGUGCACUUCAGUAACAGCCAUUUGCACAAGCCUUAAAACGCAGCGAAAAUUCAAAUGGUUCCUUUUGUGGCGAGGUUACAAGUCAAUAAUUUGAACUCGGAUUGUGUCCAUAUCCGGUGAAGAGCGAGGAUUACAUGCCCCCCGCCUUCCCCUCGCUGUCCUGCCUAACGAAUCCAGACCCAUUCCCCGCAGGGAGCCGAGCAGGCGAAAGGAAGGGAGUGUCGUCCUCCUGGGAGCUGUUACAGCAUCCGCUCCCCCCAGGAAAGAGGAGGGAGGAAUUCCGACAAUUCCUUGCCAAGCUAUUCCAAGGAUAGAGCACUUACACCCCACCAGCUAAUCAGGGCUGUUCCUUAAGGCUUUAUUUUAGCAUCUGGACUUCAGUAACUUUUUUAAGCCUAGUUUUGUACUGCGGAUUACUGUGAAUUUAGAUCCAAACCAUUGCUUGAGUUGCACAUCCAAAAUAAGCAUUGUUAACAAAAGCCAAGUGCCUUAUGCAUUUUAUUCAGCGCUAAGAGCAGCUUGACUGCUAAUAUUUCAUGUGCUGAAUGAAAUGGAGCUGCAGUGUUUCAAGCUAAUUCUGGAAUUUCGAAGCAUAUCCUGCAUGGCAAACUGUAAUGCCCCAUGGUUAUGCCAGUGGUGAUCAGUUUGAGGCCAGUGAGAUGUGAGUGUGGAAAGAUACAGGAUGGAGUCCUUAUAAGAAGGCAAACGUACGCUUUGCCAUGUUUGUUUAAUAUUGUCCUAUUAGUUUUUUGAAGUGCCUUUGUGUAUAAUGUCUGCCCAUGUUACCUUUUAAAAUUUUUUCCAGGUCUGCUACCAUUCAAAUAAAUCAUGUAUCCAAGCAAGAAUUUAUCCUGUCUCCUCCUAAGGCAUGUAGGCUUAAUACUUUUGCUACCUAAGUCACAGUCAUGGUGUUAGAAAGGUUUAAACAAAAUUCUGCUGUAUAUCCCAGCAGUGACUUCAGAGAAAUGUAUGGGGAAGUGGGAAG